AAAAUGAAACCUAGAUCUAAUCACCUAAAAGAGAGGACUCUUCUCAGUAUAAUAAAAUCUAGGAAAUUGUAAAUAAGGGAGACUCUCCCCUUACAAAGUACGAAGAAAAUAAAAAUAAACACUAAAAUACUUCAUAAAAGCUAUAUCUAACACGAAUAGCAUAGAUGAAGAAGCUGAGAUGACAUUAACGAAGCAAACAUGUACCAGAAGAUUCAACUCCAUCUAGGGUGGUUUCUUAAUUUGCUUCAACUUUCUUCUUCUGAACUGUGGCAUUCCAAGCUUAUCCAUCUUGAAUAUCCUCUUACUUCUUCCGGUGAUGAAUUUUCAGCUUCAAUUAUUUGUCUAUUUUUGUUGUUACCAUCAUUUUGCAGGACAUAUCAUAGGAGUGUGACCUUGGUAUAUACAAUAUGAACAAUAAUCAGGUUUAAACACCACAGCUAGCAGCCUCUUUUUGGUCAUAAUUUCGAGAGGAGUGAUAUCAAUAAUCAUCACUUUCAUGGCUUCUUGAGCCCUCAACUUUGUCACCAAUGCAUGAGAAACAACUGGGGCAUUAGGACCCAAAAUUUUAUUGCUCCAUAUAUUAGUCGGAGGUUGGUUUCUAUCAUCAGCCUUUCGAUGCACCUCCUUCUCCUCAAGCUUACCAGAUUGAUCAACUUUAGGACUAUUUCUGUCAACAUUUCCAAUAUCGACCUCAUUUGCUACUGUGAGCUCAUUCACUUUAUGAUUCAUAUGAGUAGACUUAGCAAAAUUGUUGGAAACUUCCAUAGGUUUACUGUUAGGAACAUAUGGUUUAGAAGCAAUUUUUUGAACAUUUUCAAAAUUUUUCUGCAUAUUCUUGUCCUUACCACCUUUAGCAAUAUUAUGAAUUUGAUUACUCAUCUUAAUAGCUGCAACCUUACCAGAUGUAGUAUCUUUAGAAUUCACCAAACUAAAACAAUUUUGGUCGUGGAAUUCAGCAACAUCAGCAUGUUUUUUUCUUUGAGGUCAUCAUGUUUAACCAUAGUAACAUUGUUCGAAUCAGUAGAAAAAUUGGAAUUGAUGGAAUUGAUAGACUCACCAGAACAAUCUUUCAAACUAGAGCUAAUAGCACCAUUAUCAGAAUUAUCAUGGUCUGAAAGUUCAGAAUCUUCAUUUUGCAAAUCAUAAACAGUAGCAUCAUUUUCCAAAAUCGUAGAAUUUAGCUUGGUUGAUCCUUUGUGAUAAUUUGAUGGGGCUUUUUUAGAAAUCACCAUCUCCAUAUCAUUUAUAGUUGAUUUUCCUUGACCAAUUGGAUUUGCGAUCGCCGUAUCACCAUUUUCAGCCAAAAUAGGUGGUACAGAGGUGUCAAAAUUAUAAUUUAUUGAUGUAGGAUCAAUUUGAGAAGGGGCUUUCAGCAUAUCUUCACUCGAAAUACCCAAUUGCAGCUUUUCUUAUCAUGAUUUAUGAAUUUUCUCUGUUAAUUUUACAUUUGCUUUAAAAUUUGAAAAAUUAGGGCUUGAAGCCCAAAAUUCUAAAUUGGAACUGUUAUGAACACCACAAAUUGGGGCUUUUGAGUUAAAAUUGUUCCUUACCUCCCCAUCAAUAAUUUGAUAUUGAAUUUACUCAAUUUUGUCAAAUAAAAUUUGGUCGCCAAAGUUGUGCAAUUUUUUGGCAGUCUUAAUCGGUACUGUUGGCUCUAAUUUUUAGCUAUUAGAGGCACUUUGAUCUCCUCUAGCCAUCUCUAUCAUUGCAUCUGCAUCUCUUUUCCCAGAAGUGUCACGAUUUUGCAUAAAAAACUUUGGCGACUUGGGCGAAACUAUCUCUAAAUUGGCUUGAUCGAAUUUUGCAAUAGCCACCCGAGAAUUUUAACUGGAAUUUUAAUCCUAGGAGCCGUAUGAUCUAUAUUAGUAAUUCUAGCACUUGGAAUUGCUUCAUUAUCUUCCAAAUUAUCAUGUGAAAGAAUUUUUCUAAUUGAUUCCCAUUGUUCAUCAGAAAUCGCACUCGAGACCUCUUUAAGUUUUUUUAAUUUCUGAACAUUGAGAGAUGAGAUUGUGGAAUAAUCAAUUUGGGGUUUAUGUGCAACAUCUAUGUGAACUUUUUUAGACUGUUCCAGUGGCCGGUGAAGCUCCAUCGAUGGCUAUGAAGCUAUUCUGGCAGAAAUAGUAACUGAAAAUUUCUAGAGAGAAGGGAAAAAAUUUUGUAGAGAGAGAAAAACUUCAAGAAAAUAAAAAGUGAUAUGUUUUAUUUUGUGCUUCUUUUUUUAUAAACCAUUUUGACCCUAAUUUAAAAGUGGGCAAUAUGGGUAUCUUUGGCUUUAUUUUAUAGGUAGAUUUUGUAUUUGUAUCUUUUAGAUGAUUUCAAAUUCAUUCAUAAGGGGAAAGCUCCAAAUUUAGGGGUUGUAGGAUCGGUUUUGGUAUCCGAUACAGGUGAUGGCUUAACUUUCUUCAGACAGGGUUGAGUAGUUAAUAAUAAUGUAAAAGCAUUAUAUGGGUAUGAGUUUGUAUCACGAAAAAUGUGUUUAGAUGAUUUAUGUGCCUGUGUGGGGGCCUACGUGGAUAAUAUUUUAUGGUUUUGAGACAUUAUUUGUUAUGUGUGAUCGUGUGAGAUUUUUAUGUUGUUGGCCUAGUGUUGAUAUAUGUAUGUUAUAUUGUACUCUCUUUUGUGGUUAACAACCUAGAUUUUAGGAUUUAUAUAAUGUCAAUGACUUUUCUUGCAUGUUUCAUUCGAUGGUUUUUGGAUUAUUUCGGAUCUUGGAUAAUUGGUUAAUAUACGUGGAUAUUUGGCUCAUAUUGUUAGUAUAUUGGUUGGAUAUUGGAUAUUCUCAUUUUGGUUGGUUAUGAGCAUUACAUCCUCAUAUCAGACUCAUUCAGGUAACAUUGGACCACCGUGGAAAUACUGUAAACACUGGCUUUUUCUGACAAAAAAUAUGACAUCGUUAAAAAUCCUCUACCAAUGUAUAUGCUAGAGAUAAGUUAUGGAUAUUGGCUAUAUAUAGGUUGAUGAACCCACCAUGGGUCCUUCCUCAGAGCAUAGCUUGGUAGGUACGUAUGGAGGUUGUGCAACGAUCUUGUGCAUCACAUCAUCAUCAUAAUUAUAUUUGUAUUGCAUUUCAUAUAUUGUGCUUAUUCUGUGAUUGUGUUUCUAUUCUUGGCUUGAUAUUUCUUAAUUUGUCCUAUCCUUAUACUUGUAUUUGGUGUUUGUGUCUAUUUGUUCUUCUUUUCCCUGCCUAUAAUUAUUCUAUGUGUAUAUAGUUGAACUAUUAGUAGAGACAAUAUAGGCUACCAUUUGGGACAUUUUCUAAUUGCAGGUGAUGUGCCCAUAGUUUGUGUUUAUAUGCUUCAUUUCUUACUUUACUCAGUCGACCUAUGAUACCUACUAAGUACAAGUGGACCGUACUCAU